ACGAUGGAAAAUGUGAAACUCUCAAUGAGGAGAAUCGCCAUUCGGGUCAAUAUAUAAGUCAACAAGGUGAUGACUCGAGCCCACCUGAUGAAGAGAACAUUGAAAAAAAUAAAGCGAUAAAAAUAGAAGAUAGUCACUUUGGUCAAAGUACAAAUCAAGAAGGCAAAGACACAGGCAGGGAGAACGAUGGAAAAUGUGAAACUCUCAAUGAGGAGAAUCGCCAUUCGGGUCAAUAUAUAAGUCAACAAGACAAUUCAGAUGAAUUAGCAGAAAAUAUAUCUACUGGAAGUGAACACAUGAACAGAAUAGCUGUGAGUGAUAAUCAAGAUUCCAAAGAUAUGACGAAAGAGACGACAGGAAAAAUUUUUAUAGAGGGAAAUGUUGCUAACAGAGUUCAACAGUUUCAAAACAAUACAAGCUCAUCGGCCAUUCCGUUUAAAAAGUAAAGCAAACCUGUGCAAUGUAAAUAACCAAUGCAGGUCAAUCAAUAUCAUGUACAGAACGUUACAUAAACCAAACUAUGUGAGACCAAAAUCUCAAUGUGAUUAAAGUCCUUUUUGAUUACCAUCAGAUGAAAAUGAAAAAAAAAUGUUCGGUUGAAAACUUCAUUAUGUUGUGAUGUAUGGUCUAGUUGUAACGUAGGGAAACGUGCACACAUGAGAUCCUUCAUCUGAAAACUUACAGAAGAAGAUACUGUAUAGGCUUUAUUGUGCACUCAAAUACAUGUAUAAUGUUCUGAUCAAGAUAUGAAAUUGGUUUUUAUAUGUGUUGCCUUUUUAUAUCGCUUUUUGAGCCUUUUUAUCUAGUUUUGAAUACAUGUAGAUGUAUGUGUAGAGAUAAGCAUGUCUUUAACGGUAGGUUUGCAAGCUUAACCAUAAUAAAUUCGGUUUCUAAGUUUAUGAAAUAAAACUUGUUAUGCAUUUUUUAAAACAAGAAUUCAGUAUUUUGUAUAAAAGAUUUAACCUCUUAUCUAAGUUCUUGAGCAUAUACCAAAACCAAAUAGAAAAAAAAAUAUGUACAGUGUAGAAGUAUUAUGCCUUCAUAUGGUAAUAAAUAUUAAAAAUGUAUUUUUGAGUGUCGUUAAAGUUUUUAUUCGUU